UAGUAAGCAUACAGCCGAGCGGAGAUAGCGAAGCUCGAGGACCUCCCAGUGAGAUUGGAGGAUGAGUGGUUUUCUCGAAGACGAGGAGUUGUUUACUGAGCUACGGUGUGUGAUGCGCCACUGAGGAAUACCGCCUCAAACCGGAGGGGAAGGGCCCGCCCGAGUUUUGGGGGCAUCACCCGGUCGGCGCGGUCGCGGCGCGCCGAGGGCCCGACGCCUGGCGGAGAAUCAGGGUUCGACUCCGGAGAGCGGGCCUGAGAGACGGCCCGCACAUCCAAAGACGGCAGCAGGCGCGGAACUUGCCCAAUGCGCGCGCGAGGCAG
rfam:Giardia intestinalis strain GS GS_B_0117, whole genome shotgun sequence.